GACGAAACGCACUAGUAAAUACUAUUUAUAACGUUAAUCGUUGUAAAAUUGAUCGCGACGGGUUUUUAUUCGCGAUAUAUUACAGGAUCCCCACGUUUCCGAUGCACAAUGAAUAAACAAAACAAAUCGCUUUUUACUUAUUAAUAUAAUAACAUCAGAUGUGUAUUAUGUUUCGCGAAUUUUCACUCGACGCGACGCCAAGCCAUGAUAAUAACAAUAAUGCGA